UACGGAGGGUGCAAGCGUUAUCCGGAUUUACUGGGUUUAAAGGGUGUGUAGGCGGGCCUUUAAGUCAGUGGUGAAAUCUCCGAGCUUAACUUGGAAACUGCCAUUGAUACUAUUGGUCUUGAAUUCUGUUGAGGUGGGCGGAAUAAGUCAUGUAGAGGUGAAAUUCGUAGAUAUUCGCAAGAACACCAGUGGCGAAGGCGGCUCACUGGCCCGGUACUGACGCUGAGGUGCGAAAGCGUGGGGAGCAAACAGG
rnacentral:rRNA from 1 species